GACGAACGCUGGCGGCGUGCUUAACACAUGCAAGUCGAGCGGAAAGGCCCUUUCGGAGGUACUCGAGCGGCGAACGGGUGAGUAACACGUGAGUAAUCUGCCCUUCACUUGGGGAUAACCUCCGGAAACGGUGGCUAAUACCCGAUACGACCAUUCCUCGCAUGAGGUGGUGGUGGAAAGUUUUUCGGUGGGGGAUGUGCUCGCGGCCUAUCAGCUUGUUGGUGGGGUAAUGGCCUACCAAGGCUUCGACGGGUAGCCGGCCUGAGAGGGUGACCGGCCACACUGGGACUGAGACACGGCCCAGACUCCUACGGGAGGCAGCAGUGGGGAAUAUUGGACAAUGGGCGGAAGCCUGAUCCAGCAACGCCGCGUGAGGGAUGACGGCCUUCGGGUUGUAAACCUCUUUCACCUGUGACGAAGCGAAAGUGACGGUAGCAGGAGAAGAAGCACCGGCCAACUACGUG
rnacentral:rRNA from 1 species